GCUCAAUGAAUUUUUAAAUAGCCGCAGAAUUUCUGUGCUAAGGUAGCAUAAUCAUUUGCCUUCUAAUUUAAGGCUUGCAUGAAAGAUUUAACAUCUUAUUUUCUUUAUUAAAUUUACAUUUUAAACUUAUCUUAAAUAUUAAAAGAUAUUUAUAUUAUAGAAAGACGACAAGACCCUAUUGAACUUAACUUUAGUUUAGCUGGGGCAGCUAAUUAAAAAUAAUUUUAAUUUUAUUUAUUCUUUAAAUUGACCUAGUACAACUAAUCAUUUGAUCAAGUUACCAUAGGGAUAACAGCACAAUAUUUUACUAAAGCUCUUAUUUAAUAAAAAGUUUGUGACCUCGAUGUUGAAUUAAUAUUCUUCUUCGUGCAACCACCUUGAUAGAAAGUCUGUUCGACUUUUAAAUAAUUACAUGAUUUGAGUUCAAACCGGUGUAAACCAGGUUGGUUUCAAUCUUCUUCUUCUUAUUCUCAGUACGAAAGGACCAGAAAAUAUUUUUAUCUUAUUGACAGAAUAAUGUAUUAGAUUUAGAAUCUAAAUAAACUCUAAUCCCUUUUAUAAAUUCACUU
rnacentral:misc_RNA from 1 species